CAGCAGCCACGGUAAUACAGAGGGUGCGAGCGUUAAUCGGAUUUACUGGGCGUAAAGCGUGCGUAGGCGGCUUCUUAAGUCGGAUGUGAAAUCCCUGAGCUUAACUUAGGAAUUGCAUUCGAUACUGGGAAGCUAGAGUAUGGGAGAGGAUGGUAGAAUUCCAGGUGUAGCGGUGAAAUGCGUAGAGAUAUGGAGGAAUACCGGUGGCGAAGGCGGCCACCUGGACAAAGACUGACGCUCAGGUGCGAAAGCGUGGGGAGCAAACAGGAUUAGAUACCCCCGUAGUCCCUGUCUCUUAUAC
rnacentral:rRNA from 1 species